GUCUACUCUAAUUCAAGGCUUGAAAAGAUGUGCAGUGCCCAAGUUACAUCUCACUAAAGCGAGAUGGGGCAUGUGAAAAGCUGCCAUCCACAGCCCCUGACCUGAGCAGUUUGGCCUUCCUGGGAGACUAGCCACCAUGGGAUCUCUUCCCCUGCUCUUCUGGACCCCUGGUGCUGUAAAUCCUUUGAAAUCUACAUUGGAAUCCCUGCUACUCAAGGAGCGCACUAGGGCCCAGAGAGGUGAAGUGAAGAAAAUGAGGAAGAAAAACUAACUUUGUUUAAUUCUAUACGGCUACCACAUGACAGAGUUGGAGUUUUACCAGGUCCACCUGAUUCCAAAGCCUCACCUCCAUGGAGACAAUUUCUUCCCUGAAAAGUUAUUGCAAAUGCCUCAAUAGGUCACAGUGUUUAUCUUUCUCAUCUAGACAUCAUUUACAUUGUGAAGACACAAUGGUGUAAUGGAAAAAAGAUGAACAGUUCAUAAUGAGAAUUCCAAAAACAAAGUAAUAUUUGGGAUCUACCAGCUCUUUAAGAAACCCUGAGGUUGCAUAAGCACAGUUCUGGAAAUCAACUUUCCAAUAUCAGAUACUGUCGUAAUUAUAACAAAUAAAAU